GACGAACGCUGGCGGCGUGCUUAACACAUGCAAGUCGAACGGAAAGGCCCUGCUUUUGUGGGGUGCUCGAGUGGCGAACGGGUGAGUAACACGUGAGUAACCUGCCCUUGACUUUGGGAUAACUUCAGGAAACUGGGGCUAAUACCGGAUAGGAGCUCCUGCUGCAUGGUGGGGGUUGGAAAGUUUCGGCGGUUGGGGAUGGACUCGCGGCUUAUCAGCUUGUUGGUGGGGUAGUGGCUUACCACGGCUUUGACGGGUAGCCGGCCUGAGAGGGUGACCGGCCACAUGGGGACUGAGAUACGGCCCAGACUCCUACGGGAGGCAGCAGUGGGGAAUAUUGCACAAUGGGCGGAAGCCUGAUGCAGCAACGCCGCGUGCGGGAUGACGGCCUUCGGGUUGUAAACCGCUUUCGCCUGUGACGAAGCGUGAGUGACGGUAAUGGGUAAAGAAGCACCGGCUAACUACGUG
rnacentral:rRNA from 1 species